rnacentral:antisense_RNA from 1 species
GUCUGGUGUCUGGUGGUCUCCUGACUGCCAGGCAGGCCAGAGAAAAUUAGGGGUAUGUUUUCAUUUAACAUCAUUCCCUGCUGACUCUUGUCUCUCUGGAAAAUUGACAGUUAGGAGACAAAAACGUUGCCAUCUCCAGCAAAGAGCGCUUGAACAGCUGGGCAUUUCUAGAAAGGAAUGGGCCUGGAAGACCUGGCUAAAACCUUUGAAUCAUUUCCUGCCAACAUUUGGCCGUGACCCAUUUUGGAAGGUCACUCAGCUAUUGGUCUGAAGAAGGCUUUGUUUUUUUUUUUUUUUUUUUUUUUUUCUAUUUGGCCUUCUUUGGAAGCCAGUUUAUCGUCUGAGUUCUCCUGUAAUCUGAACUACAGGUUGCAGGUUCUGAACUACCUGAAGCCAUGCAAGUCAUAACACAUCAUUACUGACUUCUGGCUCUUUCCUUCAAGUCUCUGGCAUUGCAGAUGUUAUUUGUGUCCUAAGAAGAGCAAGAGGAGCUGCAAUAUGAAACCAGAAAACAGACACACUUCAUUUCUCUCUGCUGUUGGUGUUUUCUGGGGAGACCAGUGGAGUCACUCUGGGCAGGACUGAGGGGGACCCGGGUAUAUGACCAAGCCCUGGACAGUUCAUGUGAAGGAGCAGGACCCAGCUUCCAGGUCAGGAGGGAAACGUGCCUGACCUUUGUGCUGCUCUGCCAGGUGAGGUGUCCUUUCCUCUCCUCACCCA